rnacentral:tRNA from 1 species
GGGGUCAUAGCUCAGCUGGGAGAGCAUCUGCCUUACAAGCAGAGGGUCAUAGGUUCGAGCCCUAUUGGUCCCA